GGCGGCCAAAUAUUGCUAGUCGAGCGCAUGAGUUUGAGCUUGCUCCAUGAUUCAGCGGCGGACGGGUGAGUAAUGCCUAAGAAUCUGCCUGGUAGUGGGGGACAACGUUUCAAAAGGAACGCUAAUACCGCAUACGUCCUACGGGAGAAAGUGGGGGAUCUUCGGACCUCACGCUAUCAGAUGAGCCUAGGUCGGAUUAGCUAAUUGGUGAGGUAAAGGCUCACCAAGGCGACGAUCCGUAACUGGUCUGAGAGGAUGAUCAGUCACACUGGAACUGAGACACGGUCCAGACUCCUACGGGAGGCAGCAGUGGGGAAUAUUGGACAAUGGGCGAAAGCCUGAUCCAGCCAUGCCGCGUGUGUGAAGAAGGUCUUCGGAUUGUAAAGCACUUUAAGUUGGGAGGAAGGGCAGUAAGUUAAUACCUUGCUGUUUUGACGUUACCAACAGAAUAAGCACCGGCUAACUUCGUGCCAGCAGCCGCGGUAAUACGAAGGGUGCAAGCGUUAAUCGGAAUUACUGGGCGUAAAGCGCGCGUAGGUGGUUCGUUAAGUUGGAUGUGAAAGCCCCGGGCUCAACCUGGCAACUGCAUCCAAAACUGGCGAGCUAGAGUAUGGCAGAGGGUGGUGGAAUUUCCUGUGUAGCGGUGAAAUGCGUAGAUAUAGGAAGGAACACCAGUGGCGAAGGCGACCACCUGGGCUAAUACUGACACUGAGGUGCGAAAGCGUGGGGAGCAAACAGGAUUAGAUACCCUGGUAUUCCACGCCGUACACGAUGUCGACUAGCCGUUGGGGAUCCUUGAGAUCUUAAUGGCGCAGCUAACGCAUUAGUCGACCGCCUGGGGAGUACGGCCGCAGGUUAAAACUCAAAUGAUUUGACGGGUGCCCGCACAAGCGUGGAGCAUGUGGUUUAAUUCAAAGCAUCUCGUAAAACCCUUACCAGGCCUUGACAUGCAAAAACUUUCCAAAGAUGGAUUGGUGCCUUCGGGAACUCUGACACCGGUGCCUGCAUGGCUGUCGCCGCUCGUGUCUUGA
rnacentral:rRNA from 1 species